CCUACGAGAGGCAGCAGUGGGGAAUAUUGGGCAAUGGACGCACGCCUGACCCAGCAACGCCGCGUGAAGGAAGAAGGCUUUCGGGUUGUAAACUUCUUUUAUCAGGGACGAAGCAAGUGACGGUACCUGAUGAAUAAGCCACUGCGAACUACGUGCCAGCAGCCGCGGUAAUACGUAGGUGCCAAGCGUUAUCCGGAUUUACUGGGGGUAACGGGCGGGUAGGCGGGAGUGCAAGUCAGAUGUGAAAACUAUGGGCUCAACCCAUAGCCUGCAUUUGAAACUGUACGUCUUGAGUGCUGGAGGGGCAAUCGGAAUUCCGUGUGUAGCGGUGAAAUGCGUAGAUAUACGGAGGAACACCAGUGGCGAAGGCGGAUUGCUGGACAGUAACUGACGCUGAGGCGCGAAAGCGUGGGGAGCAAACAGGAUUAGAUACCCCUGUAGUC
rnacentral:rRNA from 1 species